rnacentral:tRNA from 1 species
GACCCCUUGGCUGAUUUAAGCACCUGUUUUGAAAGCAGGGUAAGGUUGGUUACUCAACCAGGGGUCU